UCUUUUUUUCCAUCUCUUUUACUAUAGCCUUAAAAAGUUCCGUUGAAAUUUAGAACACUGCAGCUAGUGAGUGAACUACAGUGGAACAGCUGCUGGAAACUGUCCAGUAGAAGUGUAACCAAGAGGUCAGGACUCCACUAUACCAGCAGACUGGCAGAUUCCCAACAGAAAGAUACUCCCCACCUUUGAGAACUUGUGAUCUGAAAGUCAGACAAGAAGCUCUGAACAGAGACACAGGUCUGUACAACAGUCA
rnacentral:lncRNA from 1 species